UUAUCUGUAGCUAUCAUAAAUUAUAUGUAUUAAUAUUUGUAAAUAUUAAUUAUCUCAGUAUUGAAAAUAAAAUUAAAGAAUAAAACUAAAAGUAUAUUUUUUAAAAAAAAUAUCUAAAUCAAAUAACUAAAAUAAGUGGAUGAACCAAACACAGUAAUUCUGACAGGAUUGCCUGCCAAGAUAAUUCGAACCAAACGCAUCUAAACAUGCUACUCGUUUCAUUUAUUUUUAAUUGUGACGGUGAUUCUAUCUCUAUUCAUUCCCUUUGAAGAAAGGAAGGAUCCUAAAGAUAGAUUAAUACGGACUUUAAUAUUAAAAUUUAUAUAGAAAAAAGACCAAUAAUAUAUAAUUAUGGAAUAAUAUAAGCCCACUUAUUAUUUGUAGCUAUUGUUAAUUAUAUGUAUUAAUAUUUUUAAAUAUUAUUUAUCUCAAUAUUAAAAAAAAUUAAAGAAUAAAACUAAAAGUAUAUUUCUUUCUGAAAAUAUCUAAACCAAAUAAUUAAAAUAAGUGGAUGAACCAAACGCGGUAAUCCUGAUAGGAUUGCCUGUUAGGAUAACUCGAAUCAAACGCACCCUUAGAGAAAUAUAACAUGCUAUUCGCUUCGUUUAUUUUUAAAAAAAAUAAAUUUAGCUGAAAAUAUAAAUUAACUAGAAUUCGAACUUGGAAAAACAGACAGUCGAUUAAAAAAAUAUAUAAUUUAUUUAUCAUAAAUUUUGACCAGUAAACACAUAAAAGAAAAUGUAUGUGAGGGUGUUAUGGAGAAGUCUAUUAUAAAUUAUUUUCAAAAGUAAAAUUACGUUGAGAAUAAUUAUAAAUAAAAAUAAUAUUUUUUUAUUUAUAAACUAUUUAUGAUAAAUUUAUUUUUUAUAUUUUUUUUAUUAUAUACUUAGUUUUAUUGGAAUUUGGAAAAGAAUUUUUGAAU
rnacentral:lncRNA from 1 species